GCCGGGCGCGGUGGCGCACGCCUGUAGUCCCAGCUACUCGGGAGGCUGAGACAGGAGGAUCGAUUGAGUCCAGGAGUUCUGGGCUGUAGUGCGCUAUGCCGAUCGGGUGUCCGCACUAAGUUCGGCAUCAAUAUGGUGACCUCCCGGGAGCGGGGGACCACCAGGUUGCCUAAGGAGGGGUGAACCGGCCCAGGUCGGAAACGGAGCAGGUCAAAACUCCCGUGCUGAUCAGUAGUGGGAUCGCGCCUGUGAAUAGCCACUGCACUCCAGCCUGGGCAACAUAGCGAGACCUGUCUCUU
ensembl:misc_RNA Metazoa_SRP Metazoan signal recognition particle RNA